UACAGAGGGUGCAAGCGUUAAUCGGAAUUACUGGGCGUAAAGCGUGCGCAGGCGGUUCUAUAAGACAGAUGUGAAAUCCCUGGGCUCAACCUGGGAACUGCAUUUGUGACUGUAGAGCUGGAGUGCGGCAGAGGGGGAUGGAAUUCCGCGUGUAGCAGUGAAAUGCGUAGAUAUGCGGAGGACACCGAUGGCGAAGGCAAUCCCCUGGGCCUGCACUGACGCUCAUGCACGAAAGCGUGGGGAGCAAACAGGA
rnacentral:rRNA from 1 species